rnacentral:lncRNA from 1 species
GAGUCCUUGCUGACGCUAUGCGGCGCCUCUUCCUGGAGCCCCCAGAAAAUUGCCCCAGAUAUGGCUUUUUAAACAGAGUCUCUGUUAUUCUGGCUUGUAGUUAUUUCUGCUUUGUCUCCCUUGUCACCACACACAUCUGCUUUUUGUCUGCCAGAAUUGUAUUAAUAGCCUUAGUUCACUGUUGGCCCUUACUCCUAUUAUCUUGCUAUUAUGGGUUUAUUCACUUUUGUAUACAUUUAUUUUCAUUCUAGUGAUAUUUUUUAAGAGCCAGGAGGCAUAUAAAUGUUCUCAGGCCACCAUCUUGAACCAAGAGGUAUCAGAACCAAGAAAAGUGUUAAAUGCUUAAUCGCCAGCAACACUACUCUUGUACUUUGGGACUUUUAUUAGAUAAAGUAACUGUUCCUUGAACACAAGCACUGCCAUACCAGAAAGUCGAUGUGAUCGCAGAAAGGGCGGCUAAGUGACUCACAGGUGAAAAGCUGUUACAGCGUGGAUCUGCUGGACAAAGGGAAGAUUCAUGUCCUGAGAGGGACGGAACCUGACGGCCCAAGAUUUCAUCACACUACUCAGAACUGCAGUUGCUGCUGUAAAUGGAUUCCAAAACCACUUUUAAUUGACCCACCCUACAUUGCCUCAGUUCAUCUCUCAUUCUGCACCAGCUGCCUGUUGUCCCAAAGUUUCAAUGCUAAUUCCACUACAGCAUGCUCCUGGAAACUUAUGAUAAGGAAUCUGGAACCAUCUGGUUUUAGUUGACUUUUUAAAAAUACGUUUUAGUGUCACAGUUGUAUUAUUAAACAUAAUUAUGCCUGGUACUU